rnacentral:rRNA from 1 species
AGUGCGAGAUGCUACGGCAUCGAAGCAGUCUAUGUCAUACUUCCAAGAAAAGCUUGCACUGUCAUAAACAAAGAAUGCCUGUACCAUAACCGACACAGGUGGGUAGGUAGAGUAUACUAAGGGGCGCGAGAUAACUCUCUCUAAGGAACUCGGCAAAAUGACUCCGUAACUUCGGGAGAAGGAGUGCCUUAUUUCUAAGGUUGCAAUAACAAGAUCCAAGCAACUGUUUACCAAAAACACAGGUCUCCGCUAAGUCGUAAGACGAUGUAUGGGGGCUGACGCCUGCCCAGUGCCAGAAGGUUAAAGAAGUUGGUUAGCAUUCGCGAAGCUGAUAACUGAAGCCCUGGUGAACGGCGGCCGUAACUAUAACGGUCCUAAGGUAGCGAAAUUCCUUGUCGGGUAAGUUCCGACCCGCACGAAAGGCGUAAUGAUUUGGAUACUGUCUCGGAGAGGGGCUCGGUGAAAUAGACUUGUCUGUGAAGAUGCGGACUACCUGCACCUGGACAGAAAGACCCUAUGAAGCUUUACUGUAACUUGAGAUUGAAAUUGGACUUUAUUUGCGCAGUAUAGGUGGGAGGCGUUGAGAGCAAUCUUGCGGGAUUGUUGGAGCCAUCAGUGAGAUACCACUCUUGUAAUGUUAGAUUUCUAACUUUGUAUCAUGAUCUGGUCAAAGAACAGUUUCAGGCGGGCAGUUUGACUGGGGCGGUCGCCUCCCAAACGGUAACGGAGGCGCACAAAGGUUUCCUCUGAACGGGUAGAAAUCGUAUCUAGAGUGUAAAGGCAUAAGGAAGCUUGACUGUGAGACCUACAAGUCGAGCAGGGACGAAAGUCGGUCUUAGUGAUCUGACGGUGCUGAGUGGAAAGGCCGUCACUCAACGGAUAAAAGUUACUCUAAGGAUAACAGGCUGAUCUCCCCCAAGAGUUCACAUCGACGGGGAGGUUUGGCACCUCGAUGUCGGCUCAUCGCAUCCUGGGGCGGUAGUACGUCCCAAGGGUUGGGCUGUUCGCCCAUGAAAGCGGUACGCGAGCUGGGUUCAGAACGUCGUGAGACAGUUCGGUCCAUAUCCGGUGUAGGCGUUAGAAUAUUGAGAGGAGCCUUCUCUAGUACGAGAGGACCGAGAAGGACAUACCUCUGGUGUACCAGUUAUCGUGCCAACGGUAAACGCUGGGUAGCUAUGUAUGGAGUGGAUAACCGCUGAAAGCAUCUAAGUGGGAAGCCCACCUCAAGAUAAGUAUUCUCAUCACGUAAGUGAAUAAGGUCACGGUAAGACUAACCGUUUAAUAGGCAUUAAGUGUAAAUCUAGUAAUAGGUGAGCUGAGAUGUACUAACAGACCGAAGACUUGAAC